rnacentral:rRNA from 1 species
UACGUAGGGGGCGAGCGUUGUCCGGAAUCAUUGGGCGUAAAGCGCGUGUAGGCGGCUCGAUAAGUCCGGUGUGAAACCUUGGGGCUCAACCCCAAGCCUGCACUGGAUACUGCCGAGCUAGAGUCCGGGAGGGGAGAGCGGAAUUCCUAGUGUAGCGGUGAAAUGCGCAGAUAUUAGGAAGAACACCCGUGGCGAAGGCGGCUCUCUGGGACGGUACUGGACGCUGAGACGCGAAAGUGGUGGGGA